AGAGUCCCCUAAGUGCACUCUGUGAGCCUCUCCUGUCCCACCGGGCCGCACCCAGUUCCCAGUGGCCUAGUGUCCAUGUCACCCAAGCCUCCACCCAGAGUUGCUCCCAUGCCUGGCAGCCUGGGAGGCCAAGGACUGACUGGUGAUGGCGACUGACCAGCAGGAGGAUGCCAGCUCCGCAUCAUCCGGCACUUGUGCCAGGUGCCUGAGGCCCUGCAGGGGCUGUGCCUCUGAGGCCACCAGCAACUCCCGCUCCCUGCUGCAGGGUCUCUGGGUGUGAAAUGAAUAGGAACCUCCUUCCCAGCUGUCUUCCAGGCCCUGGGAUCUGUCACAGCCUCUCAGACGGGAGCAGCCUGCAGCUGAGCCACCUCCGGGAGCAGUGGGGAUGGGUCACCUCGUCCCAUCAAAGCAAGCAAUGCUGGGUCUCAAAGAGGCUUAGAUGGAAGACCCCACUCCCUCAUGGAGGAAGGGACUCCCCAGAGAUGUCCUCGAACCUGGACUCCUGAGAGCAUUUCCGGUAGGAGGCUCCAGCCCCUCAGGCAUGAAGAGAGCAUCAGGUAGUCUCAUUCACAUGGUAUCUCCGGUCUCCAGCUCCACUUCCCGCAGCACAGCAAACGAACCCAUCAGCUCCCAAAAUCCCAACUCUUUGACCUCCUUCCGCUCAGCAGUGGGGUUUCUCCAGCCCCCUCACCACACCUGUCAGCCUCUGAAUGAUGAAGGUCCUGAAUGUCAGAGUCACCAGAACAAGAAAACUCCAGUUCCAGGCAGUGGGACCUGUGUGUACUCAGCCCCUCUAGAAACCAGGUCUGAAAUGGGGAGCAAGAACCCCAGCCCAGUAACAGUAGGAGUAGACAGAGCAGACCUGUAACAGGGUGCUUUCUCCUGGGCUGCACAGCCUGGGGCUUAGCCCAGCUGAUUACAGAAUGAGCCCUAACUGAGAGGCACCAUAUACCUCUCCCCCUAAAGAGGCAGACUUCAGUGGUGAUACAACCCAGCUGGGGUAUCAACAGGAAUGAGAAUGAGGUAGGAAGUUCAGAGCAGCAAGGAACUCCCUAGAGGGGAACUUGAGAAGAGAGGUAGGAAGUGCCCAGGGAAAACUGC